UUCAUCUUGUCCUCUCAUCUUUUUCUUUCUUCGAAAGCUUCAUCUUCAUUUCUUUGAAUCAUUUCGUUCCUAUUAGGAUAAUUUUUUUCUUUUUUUUUGCAAAUAUCAUGUUGGAACAUUACAAAUCACUAGAUUUCUUAUUUUUCUUCCAGAUUUCUGAAAGAAAACUCCAGAUCUCUGAUGAAAUCUCCAUGUUUCUUUUCUUUUUUGCAGAUAGUCUCGUUUUGUUCUUGUAGCUAUUGUAGUUAUUGUGAAAGCAUCUUCUCUCUUUUUUUUCUUAGAUGAAAAGUUUAUUUUGUGAUAGAGAAUGUUAAAUACAGGAGGAGACGAGAUUUAUCUCAGAUAUGGCAACAACAAUGAUGUAUCUAUUUUCUUUUUGUGCUUUAGUUUCUCCAACGAAACAACUCUUGAUAAAAAGUAAAACUGUUUGUUAAUUAAAUUAUAUGGAUAACUAUUAUAGAAAACCGAGCUUCCGACAAUACAAACCUAUGUGCCAUCUAUUCAUUUUUGUCACGUAGCCGGCGACACAAUCAUCUCCUCACAUAAUCAGAUGGUGAUGCAAUCUUCUGUCUCUCACGUAGCUAGCGACGCAAUCACGUCUAUUCGGGAGAAUCGAGAUACAAAGCCUAAAAAAUGUCAGCUACUUUACACGAUUCACUAGUUGUAUGUUUGUAAUUUGUGUAUUUUAUUUUUUGUUUCAAGUAUUUUUUUUUUUAAUUUUGUUCUUCUGGUUACAAAAAUCAAGAAUGUUGGUUUCCA